UACGUAGGGGGCAAGCGUUGUCCGGAAUUAUUGGGCGUAAAGAGCUCGUAGGCGGUUUGCUGCGUCGGCUGUGAAAUCCCGAGGCUCAACCUCGGGUCUGCAUCCGAUACUGCCCGGCUAGAGGUAGGUAGGGGAGAUCGGAAUUCCUGGUGUAGCGGUGAAAUGCGCAGAUAUCAGGAGGAACACCGGUGGCGAAGGCGGAUCUCUGGGCCUUACCUGACGCUCAGGCGCGAAAGCUAGGGGAGCGAACUGG
rnacentral:rRNA from 1 species